rnacentral:rRNA from 1 species
UUUUAUAAUGGAUUUAAUUGUUUUUUUAUUUUAAUAUCUUUAAUAGAAAUAACUUUUAUUUUAGUAGCUUUUAUUGAAUAAAUUAUUAUUUUUAUAGUUUAAAGUACUGUGAAGGAGUAUUUUUAUAUAUAAUAGAAGUAAAAUUAAUUUUUUGUACCUUUUGUAUCAGGGUUGAUUAAUUAAUUAAACUAAUAGUUAGUUUCCCGAAAUGAGAAGAGAUAGGAGUAUAUAUAAGUUCAUGUUUCAAAAUUAUUUGAAAUAUACUCUUUGAAAUGAAAUGUUAUUCGUUUUUCAUAUAUCUGGUUUUCUUAGAAUUGAAUUUAAUUUAGAAUAUACAUAUAUUAAAUUAAUAAUUUUUUAUUAAUUUGAAUGUAUAUUUAAUACUUUUGGGGAUAAGCUCGGGAGUUAUUUUAUAACUUUAAAAUAUUGGGAAUUUUUGUAGGCUUAGAAUCAGCCAUCAUUAAUUUCGUUAUAGAAUAUAUUUUUAAUCGUUUUAUUUUAUUAAGUUUAGGUUUUUAUAGGAAUUUUUUAUUUAAUUUAACAUUAAAUGUAAUAAUGAUUAGAUUAGUAUAUUAUUUAAUUAAUUUAUAGUAACUCGGCAAAUAUUAAACUCGCCUGUUUAACAAAAACAUGUCCUUUUGUUAUUGAAUAUAAGGUCUAACCUGCCCAAUGAUUAAAUUGAAUGGCCGCGGUAUUUUAACUGUGCUAAGGUAGCAUAAUCAUUUGUCUUUUAAUUAAAGGCUGGAAUGAAUGGUUGGACGAAGUAUAAGCUUUCUUUAAAUUAAUUGAUUGAAUUUAAUUUUUUAGUUAAAAAGCUAAAAUGUUUUUGAGGGACGAGAAGACCCUAUAGAUCUUUAUAAUUAUUUAUAUUGUAUAUUUUAGGGAAUUAAUUACUUACUAAUAUAAGUAGUUAUUUGGUUGGGGCGACUGUAGAAUUUAUUUAACUUCUAUUUUUAUUUUUCAAUGAUUUUUGUAUUUUUGAUCCAUUAUUAUUGAUUAAAAUAUUAAGUUACCUUAGGGAUAACAGCGUAAUUUCUUUGGAGAGCUCUCAUCGAUAAAGAAGUUUGCGACCUCGAUGUUGGAUUAAAAUAAGUAAUGGGUGUAGGAGUUCAUUAACUAGGUCUGUUCGACCUUUAAUUUUUUACAUGAUCUGAGUUCAGACCGGCGUAAGCCAGGUCAGUUUCUAUCUUCAAUUUAAUUAUUAAAGUUUAGUACGAAAGGACCAGCUUUAAAGAAUAGUUCUUAAAAUUUUGAUUUCUAUU